rnacentral:tRNA from 1 species
GCCGGUGUAGCUCAGUUGGUAGAGCAGCGGUUUUGUAAACCGCAGGUCGCCAGUUCAAUCCUGGCCGCCGGCU